rnacentral:tRNA from 1 species
UCUAAUAUGGCAGAAUAGUGCAAUAGAUUUAAGCUCUAUAUAAAAAGAUACCUUUUAUUAGAA